AGCGGCGAACGGGUGAGUAAUGCAUCGGAACAUGUCCAUGUCGUGGGGGAUAGCCCGGCGAAAGCCGGAUUAAUACCGCAUACGCCCGAGAGGGGAAAGCGGGGGACCGCAAGGCCUCGCGCGAUUGGGUUGGCCGAUGUCCGAUUAGCUUGUUGGUGAGGUAAAGGCUUACCAAGGCGAUGAUCGGUAGCUGGUCUGAGAGGAUGAUCAGCCACACUGGGACUGAGACACGGCCCAGACUCCUACGGGAGGCAGCAGUGGGGAAUUUUGGACAAUGGGGGAAACCCUGAUCCAGUCAUUCCGCGUGAGUGAAGAGGGCCUUCGGGUUGUAAAGCUCUUUUGUCCGGAGCGAAACGGUGGCGGUGAACAUCCGCCACUACUGACGGUACCGGAAGAAUAAGCACCGGCUAACUACGUGCCAGCAGCCGCGGUAAUACGUAGGGUGCGAGCGUUAAUCGGAAUUACUGGGCGUAAAGCGUGCGCAGGCGGUU
rnacentral:rRNA from 1 species